rnacentral:tRNA from 1 species
GGUAGGGUGGUCUAACUAAGGACGUAGGGUUCAUGCCCCUAAAGUGGUAUUAAUAAUAGCCCUUAUCU